rnacentral:snRNA from 1 species
ACUUAUACCUGGCAGGGGAGAUACCAUUAUUAUAAAAGUGGUUUUCCCAGGGCAUUGCACUUUGGAUGAGAUGACCCCUGUAAUUUCCCCAAAUGUGGGAAAAUCAACUGCCUAAGUGGGGGACUGUGGUUAUGGUUUCCCCUG